rnacentral:rRNA from 1 species
CUACGGGAGGCAGCAGUAAGGAAUAUUGGGCAAUGGACGCAAGUCUGACCCAGCCAUGCCGCGUGAAGGAUGACGGCCCUAUGGGUUGUAAACUUCUUUUGUACGGGAAAAAACCCCUGGUCGUGUACCGGGGCUGAUGGUACCGUAAGAAUAAGCAUCGGCUAACUCCGUGCCAGCAGCCGCGGUAAUACGGAGGAUGCAAGCGUUAUCCGGAUUCAUUGGGUUUAAAGGGUGCGUAGGCGGGAUAAUAAGUCAGUGGUGAAAUCCUGCAGCUUAACUGCAGAACUGCCAUUGAUACUGUUAACCUUGAGUACAUUUGAAGUGGGCGGAAUGUGUCAUGUAGCGGUGAAAUGCUUAGAUAUGACACAGAACUCCGAUAGCGAAGGCAGCUCACUAAACUGUAACUGACGCUGAGGCACGAAAGCGUGGGGAUCAAACAGGAUUAGAUACCCCGGU